UUCCCAAUUGCGCACAAUGUCAGGUC
rnacentral:piRNA from 1 species